rnacentral:rRNA from 1 species
GACGAACGCUGGCGGCGUGCCUAAUACAUGCAAGUCGAACGAGUGGCGGACGGGUGAGUAACACGUGGGAACCUACCCAUCAGAGGGGGAUAACACUUGGAAACAGGUGCUAAUACCGCGUACCAUAGGAUGAGCCCAAGUGGGAUUAGGUAGUUGGUGAGGUAAAGGCUCACCAAGCCGACGAUCUCUAGCUGGUCUGAGAGGAUGACCAGCCACACUGGGACUGAGACACGGCCCAGACUCCUACGGGAGGCAGCAGUGGGGAAUAUUGCGCAAUGGGGGCAACCCUGAUGCAGCCAUGCCGCGUGUGUGAAGAAGGCCUUCGGGUUGUAAAGCACUUUCAGCGGGGAGGCGUUACCCGCAGAAGAAGCACCGGCUAACUCCGUGCCAGCAGCCGCGGUAAUUC